rnacentral:rRNA from 1 species
CACUUCUAAGGAAGGCAGCAGGCGCGCAAAUUACCCAAUCCUGACUCAGGGAGGUAGUGACAAGAAAUAACAAUAAACCGGCUUAUGCCGGUUUAAUUGGAAUGAGUACAAUUUAAACAUCUUAACGAGGAACAAUUGGAGGGCAAGUCUGGUGCCAGCAGCCGCGGUAAUUCCAGCUCCAAUAGCGUAUACUAAAGUUGUUGCAGUUAAAAAGCUCGUAGUUGGAUUUCUGUGGGGACGGAGCGGCCGGCCGCACAUCGCGGUUCGAGCUAGCGCUUUCCCUACAUCCUGCCGCGAACCGUGCUACCAUUAAUUUGGUGGCGCCGGGGAUCGGCUCGAUUACUUUGAGAAAAAUAGAGUGUUCAAAGCAGGCCACAUGCCUUGAAUAAGUUAGCAUGGAAUAAUAACUAAGGACUUCGGUUCUAUUUUGUUGGUGUUCGGGACUGAAGUAAUGAUUGAUAGGGACAGUUGGGGCGGUCUGUAUUCCAAAGCGAGAGGUGAAAUUCUUAGACCUUCGGAAGACAAACAGCUGCGAAAGCGUUCCGCAAGGAUGUUCCCUUUGAUCAAGAACGAAAGUUGGGGGAUCGAAGACGAUCAGAUACCGUCGUAGUCUCAACUAUAAACUAUACCAGCUAGGGAUCGGCCAACGUUAUUUCAUACCGACUUGGUCGGCACCUUAUGAGAAAUCAAAGCAUCUGGGUUCCGGGGGGAGUAUGGUCGCAAGGCUGAAACUUAAAGGAAUUGACGGAAGGGCACCACCAGCCGUGGAGCCUGUGGCUUAAUUUGACUCAACACGGGAAAACUUACCAGGUCCAGACAUAGUAAGGAUUGACAGAUUGAUAGCUCUUUCUUGAUUCUGUGGGUGGUGGUGCAUGGCCGUUCUUAGUUGGUAGAGUGAUUUGUCUGGUUAAUUCCGUUAACGAACGAGACCCCAGCCUGCUAAAUAGCGCGCGUGAGCUUUGCUCGCGGCGAGCUUCUUAGAGGGACUCUGACGCGCGAUAGCACAUGGAAGUUUGGGGCAAUAACAGGUCUGUGAUGCCCUUAGAUGUUCUGGGCCGCACACGGGCUACACUGGCGCCUGCAGCGAGCAUAUCAGCUGGCCCGAGAGGGUCUUGGCUAAUCUUUUGAACCGGCGCCGUGCUUGGGAUUGACCUUUGCAAUUGUUGGUCAUGCAACGAGGAAUGCCUUGUAAACGCGAGUCAUCAGCUCGCAUUGAAUACGUCCCUGCCCUUUGUACACACCGCCCGUCGCUCCUACCGAUGAAUGUUCCGAUGAAAUUUUCGGAGAGCACCUGUGAACUUGGCUCUGCCUUGCGAACGGGAGGCUCAAAGUCACUUAAAUCUGAACAUUUCGAGG